AAAUAGCCCCGAUAGCAGUGGAAAGCCUUUUGCAGGAUUGUUGCAGUUUUUCUUGGCAAAAAAAAGCGACCAAUCCCGAUAGCUAUCGGGACUCUUUUUUUGCCUUAGAAAAACGCAACAAGACAAAAAAGCUUGGAACGGAUAGCGGGAUUAGCU
rnacentral:sRNA from 1 species